CAGAGAGCUGCUGAAUGGGUGCACAUGUUCUAUGGGUAAAGGAGUCUUCAUGAAGACUGAGCCUUUCUGUAAGAGUGCACGCUGGAAAAAUCCUGUGUUCCCUCAUCAUCUCCAAUCCUCAAGGAGUGUUGCCUGGCAGGGCCAACCUAAAAGAGGGUCUGAUGAAGGACAGAAAGCAGGCUGAUCCUGGGCCCUUGGGUGCUGGAGGAGGAGGCCCCCUGAAGGGAGCAGGAGAAGAAAGGACAACAGAGGAGUGCUGAAAUUCACCUUGCUGACUGCCCUGCCGACUGCCCCGGGCCAGCUGUUCUUGGCUUUAGGAGAUUCAAAGUCUAAGAAAGAUCCCUUUCCCCUGAUCCACCAAAGUUUUCAUUUCCUGGAGAAAUAGCUUCUCUCUGUGUGUGUUUCCGUCAACUCUCAGCAAGACCUGAACAAGCGCAUGAAGGUGAUAAACCUGCUACUUCACUGGGGCUGUUUAUUUCCACUUGACAAAUAUUGUGCCAAUGUUCACUUCAAUUAGGGGACACAUUUGACAAUCUGACUACUCCAUCUGAUGCCUCAAGGGCAAAUUUCAGCUCUUUCAGGAAGGGAUGGGCCAAUAACGGAUUCGUAUGAAUAAAAUAUACAGAGAAGGAACAUUCGCAGCAGUUUGGGGAAACCACCUUCUCCAGCAAGGAGAGCAAAAUGUCUACAUGAAAAUAAAAUUCACAUAAAUAAAGCAUGGGGCUUAAACUGUUGGGAAGCUGGGAAUUCAAAGUGAAGGCUCCUGUGCCUGCUUGCCCUUCCCCUGCCUGGAGUUGGGAAUUAAGAAGUGCAAAUCAGCACUAAGGAGCCUAAGACAUUUGUAAUUCUAUGGAAAAAAAUCAUUGUGGCAGAGUUCAACUCGCUAAGAAUCUUACUCGUUUAUUCCAGUUUUA